UGGUGGCUGAGGAACAAGAGGAAAUACAGGUUUGACAUUUCUGUCCCUCUCCCCAAACAAACCCAGCACUCCAUUCCCAUUCCUCUGUUGGAUUUUUCCUGUUGAUUUGCAAAAUAAAUAUGGAAAAGUAGAGUAUUAGAAAAUGAGACCAUUUAGAUUUUAGUCAAAUCUAAAAUUAUGUGUAUGGGUUUGUUUUAUGUAUGUUGAUGUUUAUCUCUGAAAAUUGAUAGUAUUAGAGCAUCAAACCACAACUCAUGUCUGAAUUUCUCUUUGUUAGGGCAUGGCAGAGCAGGGGACUCAGUUACCACAAACCUUCAGGGCCCUCAAAGGAAGGCCAAUGGAGCAUCCUCUAGCUGUGCGGGGUGUCAAGAAAUAUUAUAAUGCCAGCACCUUGAAGAAGAAAAAUCUCAGAUUUCCUCCUACUGAGAAGGAUUGCUUACCUUCUGGAACACCUGCAGUAAGUUGAUGAUGUAUUUCUUAU
rnacentral:lncRNA from 1 species